CACAGACUGCAGGAAUCCCCACCAUGGCCUGGACAUUGUUUCUUCUUGGGUUCAUUGCAUAUGGAUCAGGAGCAGAUUCUCAGACUAUGGUGAUCCAGGAGCCAUCACUGUCAGUGUAUCCAGGAGGGACAGUCUCACUCACUUGUGGCCUCAGCUCUGGUUCAGUCUCUGCAGCUAACUCCCCUCACUGGUCCCAGCAGACCCCAGGCCAGGCUCACCACAUGCUUAUCUAUAGCAC